rnacentral:rRNA from 1 species
UCGAGGAUCUUCCGCAAUGGGGGCAACCCUGACGGAGCGACGCCGCGUGCAGGAUGAAGGCCUUCGGGUCGUAAACUGCUGUCACACGUUAUGAAACUGCACGGACUAACACUCCGUGCCCUGACAAAGGCGUGAAAGGAAGCCACGGCUAACUUCGUGCCAGCAGCCGCGGUAAGACGAAGGUGGCUAGCGUUGCUCGGAAUUACUGGGCAUAAAGCGCGCGUAGGUGGUUCUGUAAGCGAGGGAUGAAAUCCCAUGGCUCACCCAUGGAACUGUCUCUCGAACUGCAGGGCUUGAGGACGGGAGGGGAGAGUGGAAUUCCCGGUGUAGCGGUGAAAUGCGUAGAUAUCGGGAGGAACGCCGGUGGCGAAAGCGACUCUCUGGCCCGUUUCUGACACUG